UACGUAGGGUGCAAGCGUUAAUCGGAAUUACUGGGCGUAAAGCGUGCGCAGGCGGUUCUAUAAGACAGAUGUGAAAUUCCCGGGCUCAACCUGGGAACUGCAUUUGUGACUGUAGAGCUGGAGUGCGGCAGAGGGGGAUGGAAUUCCGCGUGUAGCAGUGAAAUGCGUAGAUAUGCGGAGGAACACCGAUGGCGAAGGCAAUCCCCUGGGCCUGCACUGACGCUCAUGCACGAAAGCGUGGGGAGCAAACAGG
rnacentral:rRNA from 1 species